UUUUUCUUUUUAAAAGAUACUCAGAAUCCAAAAAAAUCAGAGUAAAAAUGCCUCUGGCAGGCUACCCCGAAGGGCGAUUUUCCCUCCCUGGGAAAACCUGCCGAAGCAACACUAGGUAAAAGUUCACAAAGGGUUGAGAGUAGUAACUCAGUAAUGAUCCCUCCGCUGGUUCACCAACGGAGA
rnacentral:misc_RNA from 1 species